GGCAUUAGGACCCUGAAGCAGCGGAAGACAGACCCUCUCCUCCUCCUUCAUCCUCCAUCAGAAUGAUGCUGCAGCUCGUCCCUCCAGCGGUAAUCAUGUGUUUCAGUGGGAUCAUCAGCGCCCGGCAGGACGAGUCCAGACUGACAGAGAGGCCUUAUGUGGUCCUGCAGAAGCAGAACUUAGUCAUGUUGGGGAGUGUCGGCGGUGUCCUGCUGCUGGUGAUGAUCAUCAUGGCUGUCUGCGUCUACAAACCUCUGUCCCGUCGCUGAAACAAGACCUGACCUGCAGAUCUGAACCAGCACCAGACUGUCUGGAAGUCCUGCUGAAACACAAUCACUGCUAAGAACUAGAGUUUAAUUUGUUAUCAGCCCGGGUCAAAGAAGAAUCUUUGUUUUGAUGGUAUGAAGUCCUACAGCUGAGUCCAAGAGUCCGAGAAAGGGCUCAGCAAAACGUUGGGUUUGUACUUGUGGAUGGCUUUCAAACCUGUUUUACUGUUGUUUCUUUAAGAUGAGUUAUUAGAUAUUACAGCUCAACCUGCCCCACAUGAAAGCAGCAGAAGGUAUAAAACUUCCUAGAGACUAACAGAAAGUUAAAUUAAYCUGAGCUGUCAGACAGGACGAGUAAUGUCUCUGCAGAGCUCAAACAGCUGGAAAUAGAUGAGACAUCUGCACCUCACACGGGAUGACUCAGAUUUUCAGCUGUGUGUCUGUGAAAUGUUCUGGCUUUCUUUAGCUGUUAGGGGUGUAAUAAACUCGUCCUGAUGCCACGAUCCACAGCCCUGUUUGGAGUUUGGUACARAACAAAAGAAGCUGUUAGAUGAUGGAGCUUGAAGCUGAUGUUAUACUUUUAUGUAAAGCCUUAAAGAUUGCACAAAACAUUUAAAAGAUUCAACUUUUGGAUCCUUCUGUUUAUUUAUAUAUGUGCUUAUUUAUUGUAAAUUAACUUUUGUAAUGAUUUAUUCAGAAUUUAUAUCUGAAGGAAAGUCRGUCAUUGACUUGCAUUUUUUCUUUGUAAAUAUGAUGCAUGAAUUUUCAGUGAAAUCACAAAGUSAGGAAGUUGCUUUUAACUACAUCAGUUUAUCUUGAUUUAAARUAUGAAACAAUCAAUAAUUAAAAAAACGUUGAAACAUGAGAUGAACGUUUCUCAUAUAAACAAAGUGCUGUAAGUCGAUGCACUAAAAUAUUAAAAGUGGACAAAAUAAAA